AGAGUUUGAUCCUGGCUCAGAGCGAACGCUGGCGGCAGGCUUAACACAUGCAAGUCGAGCGGGCCCUUCGGGGUCAGCGGCAGACGGGUGAGUAACACGUGGGAACGUACCCUUUGGUUCGGAAUAACGCUGGGAAACUAGCGCUAAUACCGGAUACGCCCUUUUGGGGAAAGGCUUGCUGCCGAAGGAUCGGCCCGCGUCUGAUUAGCUAGUUGGUGGGGUAAUGGCCUACCAAGGCGACGAUCAGUAGCUGGUCUGAGAGGAUGAUCAGCCACACUGGGGCUGAGACACGGCCCAGACUCCUACGGGAGGCAGCAGUGGGGAAUAUUGGACAAUGGGCGCAAGCCUGAUCCAGCCAUGCCGCGUGAGUGAUGAAGGCCUUAGGGUUGUAAAGCUCUUUUGUCCGGGACGAUAAUGACGGUACCGGAAGAAUAAGCCCCGGCUAACUUCGUG
rnacentral:rRNA from 1 species